rnacentral:rRNA from 1 species
GACGAACGCUGGCGGCGUGCUUAACACAUGCAAGUCGAACGGAAAGGCCCUGCUUUUGUGGGGUGCUCGAGUGGCGAACGGGUGAGUAACACGUGAGUAACCUGCCCUUGACUUUGGGAUAACUUCAGGAAACUGGGGCUAAUACCGGAUAGGAGCUCCUGCUGCAUGGUGGGCGUUGGAAAGUUUCGGCGGUUGGGGAUGGACUCGCGGCUUAUCAGCUUGUUGGUGGGGUAGUGGCUUACCAAGGCUUUGACGGGUAGCCGGCCUGAGAGGGUGACCGGCCACAUUGGGACUGAGAUACGGCCCAGACUCCUACGGGAGGCAGCAGUGGGGAAGAUUGAACAAUGGGCGGAAGCCUGAUGCAGAAACGCCGCGUGCGGGAUGACGGCCUUCGGGUUGUAAACCGCUUUCGCCUGUGACGAAGCGUGCGUGACGGUAAUGGGUAAAGAAGCACCGGCUAACUACGUG